rnacentral:rRNA from 1 species
GACGAACGCUGGCGGCGUGCUUAACACAUGCAAGUCGAACGGUGAAGCGCCUUCCUUUUUGGUGGGUGGGUAGGAGUGGCGAACGGGUGAGUAACACGUGAGUAACCUGCCCCCUUCUGCUGGAUAACCGCAUGAAAGUGUUGCUAAUACGGGAUAUUCUGGGUCGGUCGCAUGAUGGGUCUGGGAAAGUCUUUGUUUCGGUGGGGGAUGGGUUCGCGGCGUAUCAGCUUGUUGGUGGGGUGACGGCCUACCAAGGCGAUGACGAGUAGCCGGCCUGAGAGGGUCGGCCGCCCCACUGCGGAUGCGCCGCCGACCCGCCUCCUACGGGAGGCAGCAGUGGAUAUUACUGCACAGUCGGCGGCAGGCUGGUGCAGCGCCGCCGCGGGGGGGAUGGAGGCCUUCUGGUUGUGAUCCUCUUUCGCCAGUGAAGCAGGCCUGCCUUGUUUGUGCGUGGGUUGACGGUAGCUGGACAAGAAGCGCCGGCUAACUACGUG